GGUGCGAGACUUGCGGCGACCCCGAUCGGGAUCCCGAUCCCGCCUCCUCUGCCCUCUCGUCCUAACGACCACCGGCCGGCCGUCAUCUCUGACGCGACUCGCCGCCGACCGGAUCCUGCUCCCCCUCUCCCAUCCCUUCUACCACCGUUGCCGGAUCCAGCUUCUCCCCUCCGUCGCCACCUUAGGUCUGACCGCCGGCGCGGGCGAGCGAGCGACGGCAGACGCCGGCGUGAGGGAGCCCGCGGCGGCUGGAGGCGGCGAAGCCCCAGUCACCAACUGCGCCGCCGGCCGCCCCUGCCACCAACCACGACGCUGCGAGGCCCGACCUCUUAUCGCGCCGCCGCUUGCCCCAGCCGUUGCCCCCAUGCUCUCUACUAGCGUAGCCCGUCGCCGUCCGUGGUGCUCUGAAAAGCAGUGCAGUUCGGGAGCAUGGCGCGAGCUCAGAAACUCGCCGCCCCUUGCUCCGGCGAGCUCAUCUGCUCCCGUCGACGGACGCACCUCCGCUGCUCGUCGCUGACCACAAUGCGGCGAUGACGCCGAGAUUGCACUCGCGGGGAGCGGGAUACAGACCGGCAUCUCCUCCAUGCCGGCGUUCGCACAAAAAUGAACUACCUCAGUCUCCUCCUCAACGCCGCUGUUUCGCCCUCAAUUUCCUUCGGCCUCUUCUACAUCGGCGUCAGCUCUCUCCGACCUUCCUCGUCAACUCUCUCUGACCUUCCCCGCACCUUUCCUCUGCUGUCGCGCAUGGUGCUUCGUGGCAUCCCAAGUGCCUCUCCAAAACAGUCGUGUGUAGUGCUCCCCUGAAAUCCUCAUGUGUGGAAAGCUAUGGCAUCCAGCUACUACGGUUGUUUCUAUUUAGCAUUUUUUCUUCUCUUUAAACUAGCUGUCGAUUUGCCCCAGUCUCUCUGAUGUGCUGCUACAUAUAGAUGUGUUGCUCAUGUGAAAAAUGUGUUAACUGAAUUUAACAGUCUUGACAGAACUGCAGGUGUGUGUGUGUGUCUAAUUUAUUGUAAAAUUUCUCA